UACGGAGGGUGCAAGCGUUAUCCGGAUUCACUGGGCUUAAAGGGUGCGUAGGCGGGCAGGUAAGUCAGUGGUGAAAUCUUCAAGCUUAACUUGGAAACUGCCAUUGAUACUAUCUGUCUUGAAUGUUCUGGAGGUUAGCGGAAUAUGUCAUGUAGCGGUGAAAUGCUUAGAUAUGACAUAGAACACCUAUUGCGAAGGCAGCUAACUACGGAAAUAUUGACGCUGAGGCACGAAAGCGUGGGGAUCAAACAGG
rnacentral:rRNA from 1 species